rnacentral:rRNA from 1 species
CCUACGGGCGGCAGCAGUGGGGAAUAUUGGACAAUGGGCGAAAGCCUGAUCCAGCCAUGCCGCGUGUGUGAAGAAGGCCUUCGGGUUGUAAAGCACUUUCAGUGGGGAAGAAAGCCUUGGGGCUAAUACCCUCGAGGAAGGACAUCACCCACAGAAGAAGCACCGGCUAACUCCGUGCCAGCAGCCGCGGUAAUACGGAGGGUGCGAGCGUUAAUCGGAAUUACUGGGCGUAAGGCGCGCGUAGGCGGUCUGAUAAGCCGGUUGUGAAAGCCCCGGGCUCAACCUGGGAACGGCAUCCGGAACUGUCAGGCUAGAGUGCAGGAGAGGAAGGUAGAAUUCCCGGUGUAGCGGUGAAAUGCGUAGAGAUCGGGAGGAAUACCAGUGGCGAAGGCGGCCUUCUGGACUGACACUGACGCUGAGGUGCGAAAGCGUGGGUAGCAAACAGGAUUAGAUACCCCGGUAGUC